UACAGAGGUGUCAAGCGUUGCUCGGUAUCACUGGGCUUAAAGGGUGCGUAGGCGGCCAAUUAAGUAGGGUGUGAAAGGCUUCGGCUCAACCGGAGCAUUGCGCUCUAGACUGCUUGGCUCGAGUGAGAUAGGGGUGUGCGGAACUUCCAGUGGAGCGGUGAAAUGUGUUGAUAUUGGAAGGAACGCCGGUGGCGAAAGCGGCACACUGGGUCUUAACUGACGCUGAGGCACGAAAGCCAGGGGAGCGAACGGG
rnacentral:rRNA from 1 species